rnacentral:piRNA from 1 species
UGGGUUCUCACACUCUGCACACCUUC